UCAGUCGAAGAUACCAGCUGGCUGCAACUGUUUAUUAAAAACACAGCACUGUGCAAACACGAAAGUGGACGUAUACGGUGUGACGCCUGCCCGGUGCCGGAAGGUUAAUUGAUGGGGUUAUCGCAAGAGAAGCUCCUGAUCGAAGCCCCGGUAAACGGCGGCCGUAACUAUAACGGUCCUAAGGUAGCGAAAUUCCUUGUCGGGUAAGUUCCGACCUGCACGAAUGGCGUAAUGAUGGCCAGGCUGUCUCCACCCGAGACUCAGUGAAAUUGAACUCGCUGUGAAGAUGCAGUGUACCCGCGGCAAGACGGAAAGACCCCGUGAACCUUUACUACAGCUUGACACUGAACAUUGAGCCUUGAUGUGUAGGAUAGGUGGGAGGCUUUGAAGCGUGGACGCCAGUCUGCGUGGAGCCGACCUUGAAAUACCACCCUUUAAUGUUUGAUGUUCUAACCUGGCGCCGUGAUCCGGCGUGGGGACAGUGUCUGGUGGGUAGUUUGACUGGGGCGGUCUCCUCCCAAAGUGUAACGGAGGAGCACGAAGGUCAGCUAAUCCUGGUCGGACAUCAGGAGGUUAGUGCAAUGGCAUAAGCUGGCUUGACUGCGAGAGUGACGGCUCGAGCAGGUGCGAAAGCAGGUCAUAGUGAUCCGGUGGUUCUGUAUGGAAGGGCCAUCGCUCAACGGAUAAAAGGUACUCCGGGGAUAACAGGCUGAUACCGCCCAAGAGUUCAUAUCGACGGCGGUGUUUGGCACCUCGAUGUCGGCUCAUCACAUCCUGGGGCUGAAGUAGGUCCCAAGGGUAUGGCUGUUCGCCAUUUAAAGUGGUACGCGAGCUGGGUUUAGAACGUCGUGAGACAGUUCGGUCCCUAUCUGCCGUGGGCGCUGGAGAAUUGAGGGGGGCUGCUCCCAGUACGAGAGGACCGGAGUGGACGCAUCACUGGUGUUCGGGUUGUCAUGCCAAUGGCACUGCCCGGUAGCUAAAUGCGGAAGAGAUAAGUGCUGAAAGCAUCUAAGCACGAAACUUGCCCCGAGAUGAGUUCUCCCUGAGACUGUAAGUCUCCUGAAGGAACGUUGAAGACGACGACGUUGAUAGGCCGGGUGUGUAAGCGCAGCGAUGCGUUGAGCUAACCGGUACUAAUGAACCGUGAGGCUUAACCUUACAACGCCAAAGAAGU
rnacentral:rRNA from 1 species